rnacentral:misc_RNA from 1 species
GGCCAGCACCGGUUGUUGCUUCAUUUUCAGCUCGAGGUCCUAAUCCAGAGUCCCCUGAAAUCGUAAAGCCUGAUGUGAUUGCGCCAGGGUUGAACAUUCUUGCCGCUUGGCCUGAUAAAAUUGGACCCUCUGGAAUUCCCACAGACAAGCGUACUACUGAGUUCAACAUACUUUCUGGCACUUCCAUGGCCUGUCCUCAUGUCUCUGGCUUGGCUGCCCUGCUGAAGGCGGCACACCCUGGAUGGAGUCCAGCAGCUAUAAAAUCAGCCUUGAUGACCACAGCUUAUACUUUGGACAACCGAG